rnacentral:rRNA from 1 species
GACGAACGCUGGCGGCGUGCCUAAUACAUGCAAGUUGAGCGCUGAAGGUUGGUACUUGUACCAACUGGAUGAGCAGCGAACGGGUGAGUAACGCGUGGGGAAUCUGCCUUUGAGCGGGGGACAACAUUUGGAAACGAAUGCUAAUACCGCAUAAAAACUUUAAACACAAGUUUUAAGUUUGAAAGAUGCAAUUGCAUCACUCAAAGAUGAUCCCGCGUUGUAUUAGCUAGUUGGUGAGGUAAAGGCUCACCAAGGCGAUGAUACAUAGCCGACCUGAGAGGGUGAUCGGCCACAUUGGGACUGAGACACGGCCCAAACUCCUACGGGAGGCAGCAGUAGGGAAUCUUCGGCAAUGGACGAAAGUCUGACCGAGCAACGCCGCGUGAGUGAAGAAGGUUUUCGGAUCGUAAAACUCUGUUGGUAGAGGAGAACGUUGGUGAGAGUGGAAAGCUCAUCAAGUGACGGUAACUACCCAGAAAGGGACGGCUAACUACGUG